rnacentral:rRNA from 1 species
UACAGAGGUCUCAAGCGUUGUUCGGAUUCAUUGGGCGUAAAGCGCACGUAGGCGGCCCAGCAAGUGGGGAGUGAAAGCCCUCGGCUUAACCGAGGAAGUGCUUUCCAAACUACUGGGCUUGAAUACUGGAGAGGGUCGCGGAAUUCCUGGUGUAGCGGUGGAAAUGACGCAGAUAUCAGGAGGAACACCGGUGGCGAAGGCGGGACUCUGGGCCGAUACUGACGCUGAGGAGCGAAAGCGUGGGGAGCAAACAGG